rnacentral:tRNA from 1 species
GCCUCGGUGGUCUAAUUAAUGGCUUAGGGCGCUCGUACGAAAUACAAGAGACCUGGGUUCAAGUCCCGGCCGAGGUA